ensembl:lncRNA
AUUUAAUACCUCGUGUUCUGCCCACAGUGCUCCACGAGCCAGGGCUGAGAACAGCUGUGCCACCACCCGCAAAGCAAAGGCCAGCCACUGCCCAAAGCUCUGCAGCGUCCACUGAAGCAGUGCCCCUGUGAUUUACCUGCGGCACAGAGAUGCAAAUCAAGCAGGAAGACUGAUUACAUCUAACCCUAGUAAAGGCACUAACGCUAUUUCCAAAGCAGCCAAGGGAAAUUUGUACUGCUUAGGAGGUAAGCUGGGUGGCAUUGCUUGUUUUCCUUUGUUUCUGUUCAUUUGUGAUAUAGAAUCAUAGAAAGGUUUGGGUUGGGACCUUUUUAAGAUCAUCUAGUUGCAACCCCCCUGCUAUAGGCAGGGAUACCUCCCUCUACACCAG